AGCCCCGUGGUGUAGCGGUCAAGCAUGCUGGCCUUUGGAGCCAGAGACAGCGGUUCGAAUCCGCUCGGGGCUA
rnacentral:tRNA from 2 species